AUCUAUGGCCAUGCUACCCUGAAAAAGCCCGAUCCCUUUUGAACUCGGAAGCUAAGCAGGGUCGGGCUUAGUUAGUACUUGGAUGGGAGACCACCUAGGAAGACCAGGUGCUAUAGGCA
rnacentral:rRNA from 1 species